rnacentral:sRNA from 1 species
GCUGGGCAUAAUGGCUCAUACCUGUAAUCCUAGCAACUCAGGAGGCUGAGGCAGGAGGAUCUCAAGUUUCAAGCCAGCCUUGGCAAUUUAGCAAGACCCUGUCUCAA